rnacentral:rRNA from 1 species
UGCCCUUAAGUGGAGGAUAAACUCGGGGAACUGACAAUAAAAAUCCGUUAAUCUAGGAUGGGGGAAUGCACUUGGAUUAAAAAAUUCGGUGCCGAAGGUGGAGUUUGCGCACUAUAAGGUAGUAUAAAGGUGAAGGACCUGCCCAGCCUAUGACGGAUACGGGUUGGGAGAUUAUACCCCGGACAUGAUAUCUGAGAGACACUAUACGGCCCUACGGGGCCCAACAGGGGCGAAAACUUCGCAUUGUGCGAAAUAACCGUGAGGGAAUCCCAAGUGCUGGCUCGUAAGAGUCAUUUGUUUUUCUGUCUAGAAAACUGACGGAGUAAUAGCUGG